UACGUAGGGAGCAAGCGUUGUUCGGAUUUACUGGGCGUAAAGAGCGCGCAGGCGGUCGUUCAAGUCGCGUGUGAAAGCCCCCGGCUCAACUGGGGAGGGUCAUUCGAUACUGAUCGACUCGAAGGCAGGAGAGGGUAGUGGAAUUCCCGGUGUAGUGGUGAAAUGCGCAGAUAUCAGGAGGAACACCGGUGGCGAAGGCGGGUCUCUGGGCCGAUACUGACGCUGAGGAGCGAAAGCGUGGGGAGCGAACAGG
rnacentral:rRNA from 1 species